rnacentral:lncRNA from 1 species
UAUGCUUUUGCAGAUGUAUAAGUUUGCACUUUACAGGUCGUUGGUGUCAUUAAAUUUUCAAUCUUCAGACGAAAAGAUGUGCGGCUAAGAUAAUAGAGGUUCCUCGGGGUUGAGUGGAUGGUUGGUUUAUAUAGUAUUUUUGUUCAUUUUGAUCGUUGGAUAAUCUAGUCCUUUUUUCGGGUUUAUCUAGAUGGCGAGAAACUGUUUUUCUUUUUCUAGAUCUUUUGUUCGACUUAUUGAUUGCAUUGUUCAAGUUGUACUUUUUUUGCUCAUUUGUAUAUAGCCAAUUAUGCUUCUGAUCCUAUCAAUGGUAUAAUAGCUCUUUGUACUCUCUGUGUUUUAUAUCUGUAUGUAUGUAUGUAUGUGUGUUUAUGUAUGAUAGUGGUCGCGGGUUAGUUUUCUAGCGGUCCCCUUUGGUUGAUUUUGUGUCGUUGGUUUAUACUAUUAAACCAAUAACUCAUUCAACCCUAGGGUGGCCACAUGAUCUUAACCGGUAGAUUUUUUCAUCCAAUGGUCGAAAACUUAAUAGUACCAAUGGUUUGGUGCUAUUGAUUGUAUUGUAGCCGGACUAUAUAUAUUUAUAUAUAUAUAUAUACUGGUAUACUACCGGUAGCACGGAGACCUCCGUGCUACCAAGUUGUUUUCAAUGAUGCGGCUUACAAAUCGACGAUCGGCUCCGUUAGACUUGAUCUACACUAUUGAAAGCAUUUAGAAACUAAAUUUCAUAAUUUUUCGGCAUCAUUUACGUAUCAAACGAGUAGUCUAAAAAUGAACGGCUGAAAAUAAAAAUCUUAUAAAAAAUGAUGAUAAAAGACUUGAAUUUAAAAUCAGAGGUGCUGAUCUUACUCUAAAUAAUGAAAAGAAUUUUCUAUAAAAAUUUCAUCAUAUUUGACUUGUUUUACACCGUUAAAUUCACAAAUGUAUCACAUCUACCAUUAAAAUUGUCAAUUUUGAGACCUUUUGAUCACUAGCCAAAUAAUGUCGAAAAAUUAUGAAAUUUAGUUUCCAAACACUAUUAAUAGUGUAGAUCAAGUCUAACGGAGCCGAUCGUCGAUUUGGAAGCCGCAUCAUUGAAAACAACUUGGUAGCACGGUGGCCUCUGUGCUACCGAUAGUAUACCAGCCUAACUCUACAUAUAAAUAUAUAUAGUUCGGCUGGAAUACAAUCAAUAGCACCAAACUAUUGGUGCUAUUAGGUUUUUGGCCUUUGGAUGAAAAAAUGUACGGUUAAGAUGAUGUGGGCCCCCUAGGGUUGAAUGAGUUAUUGGUUUAAUAGUAUAAUCUAACGAGUGAAAAUAGUCAAAGGGUUUCGUUAGAAAACUCUCUCUCUCUCUCUUUUAUAUAUAUAUAUAUAUAUAUAUAUAUAUAUAUAUAUAAAAGAGAGAGAGAGAGAGAGUUAUUAUCCCAUGUGGAUCAGAAUUAUUAUUGGGUUUAUACCAAUGAGCAAAAAAAGUACAACUUGAACAAUGAAUUAAUAAGUCGAACAAAAGCUCUAGAAAAAGAAAAAGGGUUUCUUGCUCUAGAUAUGCUCGAAAAAAGGACUAGAUUAUGCAAUGAUGAAAAUGAACAAAAAUACUAUAUAUAUAUAUAUAGAGAGAGAGAGAGUUGAGCUGGAAUACUAUCGGUAGCAAACUGGCUCCGUUGCCACCCAUUUGUUUUCGAUAAUAGAGCCUUCAAAUCGACGAUCGGCACCGUUGAAAAUGAUCUAUACCACUUUAAAUAUUUAGAAAUCAAAUUUCAUACUUUUUCGAUAUUGUUUUCUUGUCCAUCAAGUGGGCGUAAAAAUGAAUGGCUGAAAAUGAAUAUUCUCUAAAAAGUGAUGAUAAAAAUUUUAUAAUCAUGAUCGAGAGUAUAGAUCUUGUUCUAAGUAGUUUAAAGAAUUUUCCAACCAAAAUUCAAUUGAUUUGGAUAGCUUUACACCGUUAAACGAGAAAACCCCUCAUAUCAACCAUUAAAAUUACUAAUUUUGAAACCCUUUGAUCAUUAGGUAAAUGAUGUCGAAAAGAUUUGAAAUUUGAUUUCUAGAUACGUCAAGUGAUAUAGAUCAUGUUCAACGGUGUUGAUCGUCGAUUUGAAAGCUCCAUCAUCGAAAACAAAUGGGUGGCAACGGAGCCCGUUUGCUACCGAUAGCAUUCCAGCUCAACUAUAUAUAUAUAUAUAUAUAUAUAUAUAUAUAUAUAUCAAUAGUACAAAGCCCUUGGUACUAUUGAGUUUUUAGCCGUUGGAUGAAAGGAUGUGCGGUUAGGAUGAUAGUGGUCCCCGGUUAAAUUGAUAGCGGUCCCCUAGGGUCAAGGGCCAAAAAUUUAAUACCACCAAUAACUUGGUAUUGUUGAGAGAGAGAGAGAGAGAGAGAGAGUCCGGCUGGGAUACUAUCGAUAGCACCAAGUAUUUGGUGCUAUCGAGUUUCCGCCGUAAGAUUUAACCCUUUAAUUAUUUUUACCCGUUAGAUUAUACUAUAUAUUUAACUAACUACUCACUCAACCCUAGAGGGCCCACAUCAUCCUAACCACACAUUUCUCAAUCUAAGGGCUAAAAAAUUAAUAGCACAAAUAGCUCGGUGCUAUUUUUAGUAUUCCAGCUUAGUNUUCAUACGGUCAUAUUAUUUAGUCAAUAUUAUUUAAGAUUACGAAAAAUAUAUAAUUAAUUAAUUAAUUUUUUUAAUUAAUUUUAAAUAAUACUAUAAAAAAAUUUCAACAUUUUUUUAGAAAAAAGAGAAAGAGAAUAUAGAUUAGAAAAAGAGAGCAUAAUUAAAGAAAUAGAAAGAGAAAUAGAGUCGAGAUUAGAGAGAAUGAGAGGGUUGAGAUUUUAGAAAAAGAGGGGAGAAAUAGCUUAGUUUAGAAAGAGAAAAAGAGUUGAAGUUUAGAGAGAAAAAGAUAAGUUUAGAGAGAGAUAUGAGGUUUAGAAUGUAUAGAAAAAUAAUACAAACUAGCCGGCGGGUAGGAAGAAAGAAAGAGAUUAGACAUAUUAUAAUUAUCCCAAUUCAUUAAUAUAAGGAUACCCACUCUCACUCAGAGGAAUGAGAUUAGUACUUUGGGAUGCAUCUCAUUCCCAAGUAAAUUAAAUAUUACCAACUAGAUUACUUAGUUUAUUUAGCCAAACAUCGUCAUAAUUUUUUAUUUUUAUUAGAUUAUUAGAAAUCUUAAAAAAAUAGCGCAAACCAAAUGCACCCCAAGGUUCAUCCAUAUAUCUAAGUAUAUUUUAAUUGUGACGUGCUGAAAGAAAGUUAUUAAGAAUAAUCAUUAAAGAGGGGGACUAUCUUUUGGAAUAACUAAUUGGAAUCGCUAUCUAAGUGGAGUGAUUACAAAAGUACAUGCGGUAUGCUUUUGCAGAUGUAUAAGUUUGCACUUUACAGGUCGUUGGUGUCAUUAAAUUUUCAAUCUUCAGACGAAAAGAUGUGCGGCUAAGAUAAUAGAGGUUCCUCGGGGUUGAGUGGAUGGUUGGUUGAAUAGUACAAUCUGAAAGUUGGAAAUAGUCAAAAGGGUUAAUCUAAUGGCGAAAAACUGAAUAGCACAACAUCGUUGGUGCUAUUGAUAGCAUUGUAGUCGAACUAUAUAUAUAUAUAUAUAUAGAAUUAUGCUACUAUACUAUCAAUAGUACAAAGCCCUUGGUACUAUUGAGUUUUUAGCCGUUGGAUGAAAGGAUGUGCGGUUAGGAUGAUAGUGGUCCCCGGUUAAAUUGAUAGCGGUCCCCUAGGGUUGAGUGGGUGGUUGGUUUAAUAGUAUAAUCUAACGGGUGGAAAUGAUCAACAGGUAGAUCUAAUGGUAGAAAACUCAAUAGUACCAAGGACUUGGUACUAUCGAUAGUAUAGUAGCCGGACUAUAUAUAUAUAUAUAUACUGGUAUACUACCGGUAGCACGGAGACCUCCGUGCUACCAAGUUGUUUUCAAUGAUGCGGCUUACAAAUCGACGAUCGGCUCCGUUAGACUUGAUCUACACUAUUGAAAGCAUUUAGAAACUAAAUUUCAUAAUUUUUCGGCAUCAUUUACGUAUCAAACGAGUAGUCUAAAAAUGAACGGCUGAAAAUAAAAAUCUUAUAAAAAAUGAUGAUAAAAGACUUGAAUUUAAAAUCAGAGGUGCUGAUCUUACUCUAAAUAAUGAAAAGAAUUUUCUAUAAAAAUUUCAUCAUAUUUGACUUGUUUUACACCGUUAAAUUCACAAAUGUAUCACAUCUACCAUUAAAAUUGUCAAUUUUGAGACCUUUUGAUCACUAGCCAAAUAAUGUCGAAAAAUUAUGAAAUUUAGUUUCCAAACACUAUUAAUAGUGUAGAUCAAGUCUAACGGAGCCGAUCGUCGAUUUGGAAGCCGCAUCAUU